rnacentral:rRNA from 1 species
AUUGAACGCUGGCGGCAUGCCUUACACAUGCAAGUCGAACGGCAGCACGGGUGCUUGCACCUGGUGGCGAGUGGCGAACGGGUGAGUAAUACAUCGGAACGUACCUUAUCGUGGGGGAUAACGCAGCGAAAGCUGUGCUAAUACCGCAUACGCCCUGAGGGGGAAAGCGGGGGAUCGAAAGACCUCGCGCGAUUAGAGCGGCCGAUGCCUGAUUAGCUUGUUGGUGGGGUAAAAGCCCACCAAGGCGACGAUCAGUAGCUGGUCUGAGAGGACGACCAGCCACGCUGGGACUGAGACACGGCCCAGACUCCUGCGGGAGGCAGCAGUGGGGAAUUUUGGACAAUGGGGGCAACCCUGAUCCAGCAAUGCCGCGUGAGUGAAGAAGGCCUUCGGGUUGUAAAGCUCUUUUGUCAGGGAAGAAACACCGGCUCUAACACAGUCCGGGAAUGACGGUACCUGAAGAAUAAGCACCGGCUAACUACGUGCCAGCAGCCGCCGUAA